GACGAACGCUGGCGGCGUGCUUAACACAUGCAAGUCGAACGGAAAGGCCCUGCUUGCUGGGUACUCGAGUGGCGAACGGGUGAGUAACACGUGGGUGAUCUGCCCUUCACUUCGGGAUAAGCCUGGGAAACUGGGUCUAAUACCGGAUAGGAGCCAUUUUUAGUGUGAUGGUUGGAAAGUUUUUUCGGUGUAGGAUGAGCUCGCGGCCUAUCAGCUUGUUGGUGGGGUAAUGGCCUACCAAGGCGGCGACGGGUAGCCGGCCUGAGAGGGUGGACGGCCACAUUGGGGCUGAGAUACGGCCCAGACGCCUACGGGGGGCAACAGGGGGGAAAAUUGCACAAUGGGCGCAAGCCUGAUGGAGCGAAGCCGCGUGGGGGAAGACGGCCUUCGGGUUGGAAACGCCUUUCGCUAGGGACGAAGCUUUUUGUGACGGUACCUAGAUAAGAAGCACCGGCUAACUACGUG
rnacentral:rRNA from 1 species